rnacentral:rRNA from 1 species
GACGAACCGUGCGAACGUUAUUCGGAAUCACUGGGCUUAAAGCGCGUGUAGGCGGGCGGGAACGUCGGCGACUGAAAGCCCCCGGCUCAACCGGGGAAGCGGAGCCGAAACGGCCUGCCUGGAGGGGCGUAGGGGGACCUGGAACUUCCGGUGGAGCGGUGAAAUGCGUUGAGAUCGGAAGGAACGCCCGUGGCGAAAGCGAGGUCCUGGACGUCAUCUGACGCUGAGACGCGAAAGCUAGGGGAGCGAACGGG